UACAGAGGGGGCAAGCGUUGUUCGGAAUUACUGGGCGUAAAGGGCGCGUAGGCGGCCUUCUAAGUCGAACGUGAAAUCCCCGGGCUCAACCCGGGAACUGCGUCCGAUACUGGAAGGCUUGAAUCCGGGAGAGGGAUGUGGAAUUCCAGGUGUAGCGGUGAAAUGCGUAGAUAUUGGGAGGAACACCAGUGGCGAAGGCGGCUCACUGGACCGGUACUGACGCUGAUGCGCGAAAGCGUGGGGAGCAAACGGG
rnacentral:rRNA from 1 species